AGUGAACGCUGGCGGUAGGCCUAACACAUGCAAGUCGAACGGCAGCACAGUAAGAGCUUGCUCUUACGGGUGGCGAGUGGCGGACGGGUGAGGAAUACAUCGGAAUCUACUUUUUCGUGGGGGAUAACGUAGGGAAACUUACGCUAAUACCGCAUACGACCUACGGGUGAAAGCAGGGGAUCUUCGGACCUUGCGCGAUUGAAUGAGCCGAUGUCGGAUUAGCUAGUUGGCGGGGUAAAGGCCCACCAAGGCGACGAUCCGUAGCUGGUCUGGGAGGAUGAUCAGCCACACUGGAACUGAGACACGGUCCAGACUCCUACGGGAGGCAGCAGUGGGGAAUAUUGGACAAUGGGCGCAAGCCUGAUCCAGCUAUACCGCGUGGGUGAAGAAGGCCUUCGGGUUGUAAAGCCCUUUUGUUGGGAAAGAAAAGCAGCAGGUUAAUACCCCGCUGUUCUGACGGUACCCAAAGAAUAAGCACCGGCUAACUUCGUG
rnacentral:rRNA from 1 species